rnacentral:rRNA from 1 species
CCUACGGGUGGCAGCAGUAGGGAAUAUUGCUCAAUGGGCGAAAGCCUGAAGCAGCAACGCCGCGUGGAGGAUGAAGGUCUUCGGAUUGUAAAAUUCUUUUAUUAGAGAAGAUAAUGACGGUAUCUAACGAAUUAGCACUGGCUAUUACCGUGCCAGCAGCCGCGGUAUUACGGAGGGUCCACGGGUUCCGUGUUAUCACUGUGCGUAGAGUGCGCGUAGGCGGGUUAGCAAGUCAGAUGUGAAAGCCUUGGGCUUAACCCUAGAACGGCAUUUGAUACUGGUCAUCUAGAGUAUGGGAGAGGAAGGUGGAAUUCUAGGUGUAGCGGUGAAAUGCGUAGAGAUCAGGAGGAAUACUCAUUGCGAAGGCGACCUGCUGGAACAUAACUGACGCUGAGGCGCGAAAGCGUGGGGAGCAAACAGGAUUAGAUACCCGAGUAGUC